AGUGAACGUUGGCGGUAGGCCUAACACAUGCAAGUCGAACGGCAGCACAGUAAGAUCUUGCUCUUACGGGUGACGAGUGGCGGACGGGUGAGGAAUACAUCGGUAUCUACUUUUUCGUGGGGCAUCACGUAGGGAAACUUUCGCUAAUACGGCCAUCGCCCUACGGGUGUAAGCAUGGGAUCUUCGGCCCCUGCGCGCUUGUAUGAGCCUAUGCCGGAUUAGCUAGCUGGCGGGUUAACGCCCCACCAGGGCGACGCUCCUUAGUUGGUCGGAGAGAAUGAUCCGCCACACUGUGACUGAGACACGGUACAGAAUCCUACGAGACGCAGCAGUGGGGAAGAUUGGACAAUGGGCGCAAGCCUGAUCAAGCCAUACCGCGUGGGUGAAGAAGGCCUUCGGGUUGUAAAGCCCUUUUGUUGGGAAAGAAAAGCAGCAGGUUAAGACCACGCUGUUCUGACGGUACCCAAAGAAUAAGCACCGGCUAACUUCGUG
rnacentral:rRNA from 1 species